rnacentral:rRNA from 1 species
AUUGAACGCUGGCGGGCAUGCUUUACACAUGCAAGUCGAACGGCAGCACAGGGAGCUUGCUCCCGGGUGGCGAGUGGCGCACGGGUUGAGUAAUACAUCGGAACGUGUCCUGUUGUGGGGGAUAACCUGCUCGAAAGGGUGGCUAAUACCGCAUGAGACCUGAGGGUGAAAGCGGGGGAUCGCAAGACCUCGCGCAAUUGGAGCGGCCGAUGCCCGAUUAGCUAGUUGGUGAGGUAAAGGCUCGACCAAGGCGACGAUCGGUAGCUGGUCUGAGAGGACGACCAGCCACACUGGGACUGAGACACGGCCCAGACGUCCUACGGAGGCAGCAGUGGGGAAUUUGGACAAUGGGGGCAACCCUGAUCCAGCCAUGCCGCGU